rnacentral:rRNA from 1 species
AUCUCUACGGAGCAAAGCUGGGGACCUUCCGGGCCUUGCGCUAAAAGAUGAGCCUAUGUCGGAUUAGCUAGUUCUUUAAGUAAUGGCUCACCAAGGCGACGAUCCGUAACUGGUCUGAGAGGAUGAUCAGUCCCACUGGAACUGAGACACGGUCCAGACUCCUACGGGAGGCAGCAGUGGGGAAUAUUGGACAAUGGGCGAAAGCCUGAUCCAGCCAUGCCGCGUGUGUGAAGAAGGUCUUCGGAUUGUAAAGCACUUUAAGUUGGGAGGAAGGGCAGUAAGUUAAUACCUUGCUGUUUUGACGUUACCAACAGAAUAAGCACCGGCUAACUUCGUGCCAGCAGCCGCGGUAAUACGAAGGGUGCAAGCGUUAAUCGGAAUUACUGGGCGUAAAGCGCGCGUAGGUGGUUUUGUAAGUUGGAGGUGAAAUCCCCGGGCUCAACCUGGGAACUGCCUCCAAAACUGCAUGACUAGAGUACGGUAGAGGGUAGUGGAAUUUCCUGUGUAGCGGUGAAAUGCGUAGAUAUAGGAAGGAACACCAGUGCCUGAA